AUUGAACGCUGGCGGCAUGCCUUACACAUGCAAGUCGAACGGCAGCACGGGAGCAAUCCUGGUGGCGAGUGGCGAACGGGUGAGUAAUAUAUCGGAACGUGCCCAGUAGUGGGGGAUAACUGCUCGAAAGAGCAGCUAAUACCGCAUACGACCUGAGGGUGAAAGGGGGGGAUCGCAAGACCUCUCGCUAUUGGAGCGGCCGAUAUCAGAUUAGCUAGUUGGUGGGGUAAGGCCUACCAAGGCAACGAUCUGUAGUUGGUCUGGGAGGACGAGCAGCCACACUGGGACUGAGACACGGCCCAGACUCCUACGGAAGGCAGCAGUGGGGAAUUUUGGACAAUGGGCGCAAGCCUGAUCCAGCAAUGCCGCGUGCAGGAAGAAGGCCUUCGGGUUGUAAACUGCUUUUGUCAGGGAAGAAAUCCUCUAGGUUAAUACCCUUGGGGGGAUGACGGUACCUGAAGAAUAAGCACCGGCUAACUACGUGCCAGCCGCCGCAGUAAGAC
rnacentral:rRNA from 1 species